GCGGAUGCUACUGCUAUUGGGAUUCGAUUAAGCCAUGCAAGUCGAACGAGUUUAGACUCGUGGCGUACGGCUCAGUAACACGUGGAUAACCUACCCUUAGGACCGGGAUAACCUUGGGAAACUGAGGAUAAUACUGGAUAGGCAAUUUUUCCUGUAAUGGUUUUUUGUUUAAAUGUUUUUUCGCCUAAGGAUGGGUUUGCGGCCGAUUAGGUAGUUGGUUAGGUAAUGGCUUACCAAGCCUUUGAUCGGUACGGGUUGUGAGAGCAAGAGCCCGGAGAUGGAACCUGAGACAAGGUUCCAGGCCCUACGGGGUGCAGCAGGCGCGAAACCUCCGCAAUGUGAGAAAUCGCGACGGGGGGAUCCCAAGUGCCAUUCUUAACGGGAUGGCUUUUCAUUAGUGUAAAGAGCUUUUGGAAU
rnacentral:rRNA from 1 species